AGUGAACGCUGGCGGUAGGCCUAACACAUGCAAGUCGAACGGCAGCACAGUAAGAGCUUGCUCUUACGGGUGGCGAGUGGCGGACGGGUGAGGAAUACAUCGGAAUCUACUUUUUCGUGGGGGAUAACGUAGGGAAACUUACGCUAAUACCGCAUACGACCUACGGGUGAAAGCAGGGGAUCUUCGGACCUUGCGCGAUUGAAUGAGCCGAUGUCGGAUUAGCUAGUUGGCGGGGUAAAGGCCCACCAAGGCGACGAUCCGUAGCUGGUCUGAGAGGAUGAUCAGCCACACUGGAACUGAGACACGGUCAAGACUCCGACGGGAGGAAGCAGUGGGGAAUAUGGGACAAUGGGCGCAAGCCUGAUCCAGCCAAACCGCGUGGGUGAGGAAGGCCUUCGGGUUGUAAAGCCCUUUUUUUGGGAAAGAAAAGCAGCAGGUUAAAACCCCGCCGUUCUGACGGUACCCAAAGAAUAAGCACCGGCUAACUUCGUG
rnacentral:rRNA from 1 species